rnacentral:rRNA from 1 species
UAGGGAAUCUUCCACAAUGGACGAAAGUCUGAUGGAGCAACGCCGCGUGAGUGAAGAAGGUUUUCGGAUCGUAAAGCUCUGUUGUUGGUGAAGAAGGAUAGAGGCAGUAACUGGUCUUUAUUUGACGGUAAUCAACCAGAAAGUCACGGCUAACUACGUGCCAGCAGCCGCGGUAAUACGUAGGUGGCAAGCGUUGUCCGGAUUUAUUGGGCGUAAAGCGAGCGCAGGCGGAAUGAUAAGUCUGAUGCGAAAGCCCACGGCUCAACCGUGGAACUGCAUCGGAAACUGUCAUUCUUGAGUGCAGAAGAGGAGAGUGGAACUCCAUGUGUAGCGGUGGAAUGCGUAGAUAUAUGGAAGAACACCAGUGCGAAGGCGGCUCUCUGGUCUG